rnacentral:rRNA from 1 species
GUAGCCGUGGUGAAGAUGCCACGUACCGCGAUUAGACGGAAAGACCCGUGAACCUUUACUGCAGGUUGUCAUUGGGUGAAUGUUCGUUCUGUGUAGCAUAGGUGGGAGGCUACGAUCUGGCGGCGCCAGCCGUCAGGGAGCCAUCGGUGAAAUACCACCCUGAAUGUGCGUUCAUCCUCACCGGUCGACAUCCUCGACCGGGACAGUGAUCAUCGGGCAGUUUGACUGGGGCGGUCUCCUCCUAAAGAGUAACGGAGGAGUGCAAUGGUACCCUCGGCCAGGUCGGCAAUCUGGCAACACGAGCGCAAACGUAUAAGGGUGCCUGACUGCGAGUCCGAUAAGACGAGCAGAGACGAAAGUCGGCGUUAGUGAUCCGGCGGUCCAAUAUGGAAUGGCCGUCGCUCAACAGAUAAAAGGUACUCCGGAG